CCGCGGAUCCGCCACCGCCGCGGAUCUUCCUUCACCGCCGUCAUGCAGAGGCAGCGGCUUCGCCGCCCUCCUCCGGCAGUCCGGUUGUCUCCGUACAACAGUAGAUCGGUGCUCCCUUCCUCCUCAUCUCUCUCUCUUCUCUCCCCUCUUCACCGUCGCGCCACCAUCGCCGCUGUGGAUCGCCGCCGUCGCGGGUCCGCCUCAGCCGCCGUCGCGGGAGGAUCUCCCCCCUCCAGCCGCCGACGCCGAUUUCUGAGAGAUUCUAAUGUAAUUUGUUGGGGGUGGCAGAUUCAUCUUUUAAGAUAAGUUCCUAUCAUUAAUUGAGAAACUGCCAUUUUAUACUUAGAUGUGUCAUAGCAACUAUGUUCUUGAUUGGUUAUAUUACCUACUUGCAACAUAUUGAAUAUUGUAGCUAUGUUCUUCAAGACUAAGUUUGUCUACAUGUACAGUUUUAAUAUGUGGAUAACUGAGUUGUGGUACUUACUUUUGUUUAAUUGUGAAAAGGAGUUGCUGAAUUUGCUUUCUCCUCUUGCUUCAGCUUUGUUGGAAGAAUGAUUGUGGAGUAAAUGUUUAUGUGGGGUUUGUGAAGAGAACUUAGGACAUGCUGAUGGUGAUGUGUUAUAGUGAAGAAAGUAAUUUAUAUAGGAGUACAUGUACAUAAAAGAAAGUGGCGUAUAUAAGAAAGUGAAGAAAGUGAUUUGUAUAUAAGAUGCAAGUGGCCACAUGUAUCUCCUAAUAAUAUUGUUUGUCAGUAAUGAUAUCAAUUGUGUCAGAGGGUA